GGAUAUGUGGCUAUAUGAGAUAUAGACACCUAGCCCACUAAGUUCCACUAAUUGUUAGUGGAACAUUAGGUGUUGAGAUUUGGCAAAUGAAUUGCAUGCAUUUUUGCAUGUAAUUAGGUUAUAAAUAGAGGUGUUUUCAAAUGUUGAAGAACUUUUUCCUCUUUUAUCAUUUUUAUCAUCUCAACAAAAGAAAAAAAAUCCUUCCAAUCCCAUUUUAUCUCCAUUACUUUCUACACCAAAAUUGGGUCCCACAACCCGGUUCUUUGUCUAGAGGAUAGCAGUUAAGUACUAGUGGCGGUCUCGGUUAGAAUUGGUAAGAAGAUAUCAAACCUUUUGAAUUCUUCAAAGGUAAUAUUUCUUAAAACCCUAAUUUGAUUAGUUUAUGGUUACAUGUUAAUUGUGGCAAUUAGGGCAGAAAUUCGAUUCUUUUUCCGCUGUGCAUGACUUAGUUCUAUCAAGAACAACCUUAAAGAAAUGAAGGCUUGAAUUAAUCUACAUUAUAUUUGUGUUAGCUAUUUAAUGGAGUGUUUAUCGUGUGUCUAUCAAACAAGUCAACCAUCAACUACCUCAACUUAUAUUCUCAAAUUUUACCAUAAAUUAAAAUUAUCCACAUCAAAGUUAUUAAUAUAUAAUGGAGAAUCAUCAAGACAAGGUGAGACCAAGAGAGAUUUUGAAGAGAUGAAAUGAAAGAUUUUGAAGAGAUAAAAGAAGAUCGCGACAAUGAUAACAAAAAGAAUUCGGAUGAGUCAUAUCAAACACUACACCAAAUAUUCAUCACUCAAAAGAAUGUUGCAAAGGAAACUAAUUAAAUAAGGUCUUAUACUCACAAUUUCAUAUUUUUGGUAGCAUGAUAAUUCAUUAAUAAUUAAACAUAAUGAUAAUCAAUUAGUUAACUAAUACAACAUUUUAGGAAGCAAUAUCACUAUUGGAGAUCCAACGAGAAAGAAAUUACAAACUCGGGUCAGUCUCGACCAAAAUGAUCAUAGUGUUUGGAAUUUAGUGUUUUGUGGAAAUAUCUAACAUUUGGGCUUCCAAGGGUAAUUUUGUUAGUUGCUAAAUCCCUUUAUUUUCAAUUUUUUAAAAAAAUCCACAAUCUCGAUGUUCAUCAUGUCGAGAUAGAUCGAGAAAUUAUGUUGAACGAGUUUUUUUAAAAUUAGUAAAGAAUCUUGGUGUGAGGUCGGUCGAUAUUGACUGAGAAAAAAAAAAUGACGAGUUUUUCAAAAGUGUGAUACUUUUGAAAUAUAAAACCAAAAGUGUUUUACUUUUGUCAAUUUCCCAACUUAAAAACAUAAAUUUGAAAACAAGAUAAUAUUUUAUUUUAAAAUAAAAUAUUAUUUUAUAUUGAUAUAUAUGUAUGGUGUCACAUUAAAAAAUUUAAUUCUAAUUUAAAAAAUUGUUUAAAACAUGUUUUAUAUUAUAUAAACUAUCGUAGUUAUCCACUAGUAUUUAGUUGAUAAUAAAUUAUUAUUAUUUUAUUUUAAAUAUCUCAUAAUUAAUAAAAAAAUAUAUAUACAAAUAUAAUAAAUUGUCACAUUAAUAGACAUGUCUAUUACUAAUCACAAUGUCAUUUUGCUAUAUUUGUAAAACUUUUCACCCAACUUUUCAUCUAAAGUAAUUUUUCAAAAAAGUAAAUGAUAUAAUCAUUAUUUUGAAAUAUUAUACCAUUUAUAAUACAUUACCAAAUAUUGGUUAUAUUUUUUAAAAGUGAACUAAAUUUAUAACAUGACAUUUUCAAAUAUAACAACAUUAACAAAAAAUAUAGCAAAAUUUUAGAUCUUCCACCAAAGACACAGAUAGAUUGAUAGGAUUUGAAAUUUUAGUAUAUUUUUGUAAAUAUUUCAACAAAUUUGUCAUUUACAACAAUUCCCCUCUAGUAGGUAUUUCUAACCAUUCUUUAUAUCUUGGUUAAACGAUGUUUUAUCUUAGAAAAAAAAUCUUUGUAAUUUUGAUUUGGAUAUACACGAUCGUUUAGAUUUGGAUACACAAUCAUUUAGAUUUGGAUAUAUACAAUCGUUUAGAUUCAGCUAUAAUGAUCGUGUACCAAAUCUAAACAAUUCUUGAAACACUAUCGUUUCGAGAUAUUUUUGGUAUUUUUCAUUGUGGGCAUAUGAAUUUUUUCAAUUUUCGAAAUUAUUCUAUACGAUGUAAAUAUUUUGACGAUUUGUUAUAUUUUUUAAAAAUUUUCUUAUAUUUUUAUAUUUUAAAAUUUAAAAUUUAAAAUAUUUAUGGAAGGAAAAAUAUAAAAAGAAUGUUGUUUUUAAAAAUUUGACUUAUUUGGAUCGAAACCAUUGGAAAACAAAAUCAAAAUCCCAGGGUUGCUAAAACAGUCAUAGCCCAUAAAUUAAAAACCAAGUUAGACUUUAAAAGUACAUUUUGUGGGUGCUUCCAAAAAAUAACAAAAACACUAUAUUUUUUAAAUUGCAAAAAUAGUAACUAAUUUUGUCAUAUUCGCCAUAUGCAAAAUAAUAGAUGUUAUGGGUUGUUUUUGCUAAACGUUUUUGACAUAUGAUGCAAUUUCUCAAUUUCUUUUUACAUUAUAAUUAUAAUUAGUUUUUGAAAAUAUUAAACGAAGAGAUAACGGUGGAAAUAACAAAUUCUUAAAUAGCAACUUGAAAAAUGGCAAAAAUCGAAAAUAAUAAGAAUUAUAGUAAGAUCAUCGACCAUCCAUUUUAAAAUUAUUUUAAAUUCGAUUAUAGCUUUUCCUAAAGGAUAAUCCAUUUAUUUCAUAUAUAGUCUAUUUGAAUAGCUCCAAAAACAUGAUAAUUCAUAAUAUAUAUAUAUAUAUAUAUAUAUAUAUAUAUAUAUAUAUAUAUAUAUAUAUAUAUAUAUGUGGCAUUUUUUAAAAUAGCAAAAUUAAUUAAAAUAUUUACAAACUGUACCAAAAUUUUGGAUUCUAUCAUUCUAUCACUAUAGCAUAUCAAUGACUAUCAGAUAGAAUUUGCUAUAGGUUGUAAAUAUUUGGUAAAAUUUACUAUUUUUAAAAAUUUCUACAUAUAUAUAUAUUAAAAAAUUAUUUGAUUUUUCAAAAUACAUAAAUGUUGAAUUUUCAUAAUAACUUAAGAAAAAUACUCAACCACUUUUAUCUUUAAAAUAAUUAUUAAUAAACUUUAAGGAAUACUAAAUAAAUAAGGUUGUUUUUAAAAUUUCUUAAAUAAAUAAGGUCAGUAAACUAUCAAAUUAAUUUCAUAUUUCUUUAAUAAAAUUCAAACAUUUAGCAAAGUUUUUAUUUUUGGUUAUUCUUAUAAUGGAUAAUUUCGUCCUCUUUUACAAUUUUUCUUUUGUUACAUGUUCUUUUGUCCUAAAGUUAUUUAAUUACAAUGUAUUUUAUAUAUCUGGGAGCGAUAUAAGUAUAACUAAUGUGUGAGUUAGGCUAUUGUAGUUUAUUAGUAUUGAAUUUAAUCUUUAGUUUGCAAUUAAAUUUUUAUAUGUUUUGAUAACUAGAAUUUAAAGACUUAUGUUCUCAUUUAGGGACAAGAUUCAUUUUGUGUUAUAUGUAAUCAUAGUUACCUUACAGAGAAUUUUCACUAUGAAAAUUGUUGUAUUCAAGUAUGGUAUAUUUUACAUACACUGUAUUUAUUUAUAUAUAGUGACACCUUCAAAAUGACUUACAAUUUAUAUAUUACAAUACAUUUAUCGUUAUUUUAAAUAUUUUGAAAUAUGCUAGUGCAUACUUAGGCACACUCGAAAUUCACCCUUUGUAUAUAUGAUAUCUACCAUUUUCUAACAAUUAUUUUUUCAUAAAUCUAGAUUUUUUACUACAUAGACAAUUUUUGUUAUAUACUUUUACUUGUUUUAACGACUAAGCCAAAACUUGAAAACUAGAAAACAACUUUUAAAAUUUUGCUUUUGUGUUUUGGAAUUUUGCUAAUAAUUCAGCCACUAUACAAGAAAUAUGCAAAACAUUAUAACAGAUGGAGAGAAAAUAUACUUAAAUUUUUUAAAGAAAGAUUAACGAAUGAAAACCUACUUUCUCAUAUUCACUUGGUUAAAAGUAAACGUGUUCUUAAAAUUAAGAAGAAAGAUAAAAAAAAAAAAAAAAGGUGUUGCAACAAUAAAUAAUAAUACUAUUUCAUACUCUCCAAAUAAAUUGUCUUUAUUAAUCGUCGCAUGCUGAAAUACCUAUUGGUACCCCUAGUAAUAGGAUAAUUCAUAUAUUCAAAGUACAGUGUAUUUGAAUGUCUCCAAGAUGAGGCAUAAUAUCGCAGAUUUCACAAAGACAUUGUAUUUUGCAAACAACGUUCAAAUUUAACAAAUUCUAACUAAAUCUGUUAUUUUGUUGUUUGAAAAGAUUUCAGGAAAGUUCCCUAAAUAAUGCCAAAUAUAUCUACAAGAUUUUCAAGUUUGUUAUAUUUUAAACAAUUUAUAACAAUAUCAGUAAUUAUUAUUUACAUAAUAUAUAUUUUUAAUAACAAUUUGAAAUAUAUUUUAGAUUAGAUUCCUUAAUUUCGGCAUAAAUUAUUUUUUAUUGCCUUUUAUUUUUAAAAAAUCUACUUUGGUGGCAACACAAAUUACGUUUUGAUGAACAAGCUACUUAGCAAGAAGAAAAUCUUUUGUUUUGUGUGUAUGAAGAAUUUGAAGGCUUUGAAGGGGAAGAAGCUUGAAGCUCAAAUCUUCUCUAAUGGAAGACUUUGAAAAGGACCAAGAGUUUCAAUAAUCUUUUUAGGUGGAAUCUACAAAAGCAGAAGAUAGGGAAGCGAAAGAUGGGGAAGUUGUAAUCUUUUUAGCUUUGAAGAGUUUCAAUGGUUUCAAGAUGUAUGCACGAUGAAGAAGAUGUGAAACAAAUGUAGAGAUUAUGUGGAACUUUGAUGAUGAUAGGUGUUAUUUUUUGGGUUUUUGGAGAAAAUAUAAUUUUGAUAGGUUUUAAUUGUGUGUGAAGAGUUUCAUUUAAUUCUAAGGUAUUUGUUGUUUAUUGAAUAAUUGUAUUUAGAAUUCAAGUUUUUCACUUAGGUAGGGGCAUUUAAGACAUUGUUCAAGUAAUUCUUUUUCAUAUUUUUUUGUUUUGCUAUUUUAUUAAUUUAAAUAAAAA
rnacentral:lncRNA from 1 species